UAGUUGGUGGGGUAAUGGCUCACCAAGGCGACGAUCAGUAGCGGGUCUGAGAGGAUGAUCCGCCACACUGGAACUGAGACACGGUCCAGACUCCUACGGGGGGCAGCAGUGGGGAAUUUUGGACAAUGGGGGAAACCCUGAUCCAGCCAUUCCGCGUGAGUGAAGAAGGCCUUCGGGUUGUAAAGCUCUUUCAGCUGGAACGAAACGGUACGCUCUAACAUAGCGUGCUAAUGACGGUACCAGCAGAAGAAGCACCGGCUAACUACGUGCCAGCAGCCGCGGUAAUACGUAGGGUGCGAGCGUUAAUCGGAAUUACUGGGCGUAAAGCGUGCGCAGGCGGAUUGUUAAGCAAGAUGUGAAAUCCCCGGGCUUAACCUGGGAAUGGCAUUUUGAACUGGCAGUCUAGAGUGUGUCAGAGGGGGGUGGAAUUCCACGUGUAGCAGUGAAAUGCGUAGAUAUGUGGAGGAACACCAAUGGCGAAGGCAGCCCCCUGGGAUAACACUGACGCUCAUGUACGAAAGCGUGGGUAGCAAACAGGAUUAGAUACCCUGGUAGUCCACGCCCUAAACGAUGUCAACUGGUUGUUGGGGGAGUGAAAUCCCUUAGUAACGAAGCUAACGCGUGAAGUUGACCGCCUGGGGAGUACGGUCGCAAGAUUAAAACUCAAAGGAAUUGACGGGGACCCGCACAAGCGGUGGAUGAUGUGGAUUAAUUCGAUGCAACGCGAAAAACCUUACCUACCCUUGACAUGUCCAGAAUCCUGCAGAGAUGCGGGAGUGCCCGAAAGGGAAUUGGAACACAGGUGCUGCAUGGCUGUCGUCAGCUCGUGUCGUGAGAUGUUGGGUUAAGUCCCGCAACGAGCGCAACCCUUAUCAUUAGUUGCUACGCGAGGGCACUCUAAUGAGACUGCCGG
rnacentral:rRNA from 1 species